CCCUUAGAUGUUCUGGGCCGCACGCGCGCUACACUGAUGCAUUCAACGAGUCUAAAACCUGCUCUGAUAGGGGUGGGUAAUCUUUUGAAUGUGCAUCGUGAUUGGGAUAGAUGAUUGCAAUUUUUCAUCUUCAACGAGGAGUGCCUAGUAAACGCAAGUCAUCAGCUUGCAUUGAUUACGUCCCUGCCCUUUGUACACACCGCCCGUCGCUACUACCGAUCGGAUUGUCCUGUGAAUUUCUAGGAGAGUUGAGGUCCUGGCGCUUCGGUGUCGGCGACCUCAUGCUUGAAUUGAAGUGAACUGGACUCUCUAGAGGAAGUAAAAGUCGUAACA
rnacentral:rRNA from 1 species